UACGGAGGGUGCAAGCGUUAAUCGGAGUUACUGGGCGUAAAGGGUGCGUAGGCGGUUCGUUAAGUCUGUCGUGAAAUCCCCGGGCUCAACCUGGGAAUGGCGAUGGAUACUGGCGAGCUAGAGUGUGUCAGAGGAUGGUGGAAUUCCCGGUGUAGCGGUGAAAUGCGUAGAGAUCGGGAGGAACAUCAGUGGCGAAGGCGGCCAUCUGGGACAACACUGACGCUGAAGCACGAAAGCGUGGGGAGCAAACAGG
rnacentral:rRNA from 1 species